CUCUGGCCGCAAAGCUUAAUGCUUCGAGCACCGACCCUCAGAUCUCGUAGGGGCACACAGCCCCAGUUCUCAUGAUGUUAUUACAUCUUGGCAUGGUGAGAACCCAACACCAUGCUCGCCCGUAUGAUACGUAAGCUCCCGUAUCAAGUUUACGCAAGCACCCCAACUAAGCUGGUCAGUAGCCAGCUCUAAGCCUUUAGGCUCAUCUCGUCCCACGGGACUCGGUUCUUAGGGCUCAGGCCCUUAGCAUCAGUAUCGGCCGCCCGCACGCAUGAUUGACACCCCACAUCAUGCUAGUCCCGCAAGGGGACUUGGGUGUACUGCCCCAGCAGCAGUACACCAGCCCGACUGGCCACACGGGUCUAGCAGCGUGCCUGCCUGCUAGCCCGCACAUCCCUCUGGCUCGAUGGCGUCCCUCCUACGCAACACCAUCACAUGAUCCUUCCGGCUCGAGGAGGGGAAACCGAGGGGCCUAGCGAUCUCUACCGCCAAACCCCAUGGCUCAACGCAAAGGCGCGAUACGAGGCCCGCCGGCCCCAACCGUCCCCGGGUUUACCUUACCCGAGGAAACAUCGUGCCACGCUCGUGACCCUACGAUGCCCGCCCACCUAGACACCACGAGUGCCUAGGAGUAGCUCACUUCAGACUAGCCAGGCCCCCGCCUGCCCGCUAGCCAAGGGGGUGGUGGAGAGCUGACACCAGAUCAUCCCCCUAUAAAGAGCGUUAGAGAUUUUCCCACUAUGCUACCAGUGACCGUAAGAAUGUCUGAAACGGGGACACUUUUCUGCCCAGCCAUCCUAGGGCCUUUCUCCGGCUAACUCAGGGCCCCGUAACCUUCCUCUUGGUCACCAUUGCUCCUUGAUUCUGCUCAUUACUCCACCAACCCACUCGAAGGUGCCCGUGCAUGGCUUCGACCAACGGCACCCGCCCGGCUACUUGGCUUGAGGGUGUCUGACCACUGUCCCGAACUUCCCCGCGUAUCUUGCGGCUCGGGGCUCCCAUUGCCCCCACAACAUGCUAGCAUCAUGUUCCAAAGCUCGGAAUGCACGCCCACAUCUCGUAGAACCACUUUCCCGCCAGCUCGGUCUCGACCACUGCUUGGUUCAGGAUCAGUCAUGGCAGGACCAAGGCCUGACCAUGACACUCUCCCCCACUUACUAUGUCGAUGCCCUCAUCGACGCCAAGACCACACCCAACUAUCUUGUUGCACACAGCUGACAUUUCCUCAUAUGUCUCUUACUUGUGCCCUCAAGGAUUGGGUCGAGGUCCCGUCACAUGAGGCACCGUCCACAGUACUCGUCCAUAGUUGGUGUAGAUUGGUCCCAUUGUUGCUCAGCUUUGUUGUAGUUCGAACCGCCUGACCUAUCUUGGUUGUACUCAUAUGGGCCAUACCAUGGCUUCAUCCCUUGAUCCUUGUUAGGUUGCGACCUCGAGGUGCCCUCAUUGAUCGAUGACCCUCAGUAGAAUGAAUGACCACAGCUUUGCCACUCAUUUGGUGCGUCCCACCGGACGUGACCCCUCACACCAACUGCACGCUUGCAGCAUCAACUCACUGAUGCGCCCCUCUGGACGUGAUGCUUAGGUCAACCGCACUCAUACGGCACUCUACAUGAUGACCCUAGCACAGUGGCAUUCAAGCACUUUGGUCAUCUCCCAACUUGGGUCCUCUCGGCCCCUCCAAGGUCACCUCUCUAGGUGUGGCCCUCAGGCCAACCGCCCCCAAGACGGCACCUUAAAAUGCGCUAACUCGGUCUUUGCCUCCGGCUUGAACACUAUGCUCCAUCGCCCAAGCUCCUUUAUCUUGGCUCAGUCUCGUGGGGAAUUGACAGGUCUCCCCCACUUUUACUCGAAACUCGGCACAGCAUUAUGCGCAACCCUGUCUUCUCGAUGGUUCUAUUGCUCGAUAGUUUUGACUCCAGCCCAGUUCCUAGGGCAUCCCAAAAUCCGCUUAUACUCGGAGACCCGCUGAUUUGCUUGACUCGGGGAUUCACCCGCUCGAUCCUCAAGGUCCACUGACCGGCACGUCUGAGGCCUUGUCAACUGGCCGUUUCCCUUUUCUUGUUCCAUUGGAAUACAUCCUGUCGUGGCCCACUGACCACCACUACUCGUGAAACCUUCCCUUUCGGCCAAUACAAGUUCGAUAUCCUGGUUCACACAUACACUCUCGUGAUCCUCUGACCACAAGAACUCACGGUCCACUGACCAACGCCGCUCAUGGUCCACUGACCAACUCGCUUGUGGCUUCAAUCUUUAGCCACUUCAUGCUCUUCUAUGUAGUAGUCUCAUGCUAGGACCCGAAUACUUCGGCUUGCACCCCCGCUGGGGCACCUGCACCAUACAGCAAGUGCACACAUUAGUAAUUAAUCUUGCAACUCGACACCUCCUGCCCCUCAGGACAAGGUUCACUCGGCCCACGUGGCCUUACGCAACACCAUUUCAUGGUGUAAGCCCCUUUUCGCAUCUCGGUCUCAAUACGGUUCCUUCCACCGUGAAGGCAUUACAUGCCGCAACAUAUGCCAACACCUUUUCUAGGUGAGGCUAGACUCUGAUGCCCUUUUGCUUGGCAUCCAAGAGCCUACUCGAGAGCCUUUUCACAUAGGCCUAAUAUUUCCCGCAGCACGCAUCGUUGGCUCUUUCCCGAGCCCCCAUAGGCAUAAAACCCGCAUCUGUGUCUCGAUAGCUCCGUUUAAGCCUGGCAUCACCUCGAUUUCGCAUCACUAGACCCACACAUGGGGUCGCGUAACUCUCGCUACUGAGCCAACCUAGGCUCUGAUACCAAAUGUCACGGUCCACGCAUUCCUCCUACUGAAACCACGCGACCGUGCGGCACCAAGACUAAUCCUAGUCAAGGUCAGCCUUCUAUCGUGUCCAUUUUUCCACGGACAGACCAUUUCUGAUCCUUCGAGCCACAUGCCCGUUAGCCUUUUCUGGCUUUUGACCCCGUAGGGUUGCUCAUUCCAAACUCCAUAGAGAGGAACCCAUCUCUCAUCGCACUUUGGCCCACGGUUCUCCAAUUAACCAAGAGCACCCAGCUCUGGCCGCAAAGCUUAAUGCUUCGAGCACCGACCCUCAAAUCUCGUAGGGGCACACAGCCCCAAUUCUCAUGAUGUUAUUACAUCUUGGCAUGGUGAGAACCCAACACCAUGCCCGCCCGUAUGGUACGUAAGCUCCCGUAUCAAGUUUACGCAAGCACCCCCAACUAAGCUGGUCAGCAGCCAGCUCUAAGCCUUUAGGCUCAUCUCGUCCCACGGGACUCGGUUCUUAGGGCUUAGGCCCUUAGCAUCAGUAUCGGCCGCCCGCACGCAUGAUUGACACCCCACAUCAUGCUAGUCCCUCAAGAGGACUUGGGUGUACUGCCCCCAGCAGCAGUACACCAGCCCGACUGGCCACACGGGUCUAGCAGCGUGCCUGCCUGCUAGCCCGCACAUCCCUCUGGCUCGAUGGCGUCCCUCCUACGCAACACCAUCACAUGAUCCUUCCGGCUCGAGGAGGGGAAACCGAGGGGCCUAGCGAUCUCUAUCGCCAAACCCCAUGGCUCAACGCAAAGGCGCGAUACGAGGCCCGCCGGUCCCAACCGUCCCCGGGUUUACCUUACCCGAGGAAACAUCGUGCCACGCUCGUGACCCUACGAUGCCCGCCCGCCUAGACACCACGAGUGCCUAGGAGUAGCUCACUUCAGACUAGCCAGGCCCCCGCCUGCCCGCUAGCCAAGGGGGUGGUGGAGAGCUGACACCAGAUCAUCCCCCUAUAAAGAGCGUUAGAGAUUUUCCCACUAUGCUACCAGUGACCGUAAAAAUGUCUGAAACGGGGACACUUUUCUGCCCAGCCAUCCUAGGGCCUUUCUCCGGCUAACUCAGGGCCCCGUAAGCUUCCUCUUGGUCACCAUUGCUCCUUGAUUCUGCUCAUUACUCCACCAACCCACUCGAAGGUGCCCGUGCAUGGCUUCGACCAACGGCACCCGCCAGGCUACUUGGCUUGAGGGUGUCCGACCACUG
rnacentral:lncRNA from 1 species